UUGGAUUUCGGGUGGGUCUCAGCGGUCCGCCUAUGGUGAGUACUGCUGUGGCCUUCCUUACUGUCGGGGACCUGCUUCUGGGCUUCAUUGUCCGGGACAGGGAUUCGGCAUGGUUACUUUGAGUAAAUUAGAGUGUUCAAAGCAGGCUUACGCCGUGAAUACUUUAGCAUGGAAUAACAUGAUAGGACUCUGCCCUAUUCUGUUGGCCUGUAGGAGUGGAGUAAUGAUUAAGAGGAACAGUCGGGGGCAUUCGUAUUUCAUUGUCAGAGGUGAAAUUCUUGGAUUUAUGAAAGACGAACUACUGCGAAAGCAUUUGCCAAGGAUGUUUUCAUUAAUCAAGAACGAAAGUUGGGGGCUCGAAGACGAUUAGAUACCNNUCGUAGUCAU
rnacentral:rRNA from 1 species